AUACGUAGGGUGCGAGCGUUGUCCGGAAUUACUGGGCGUAAAGAGCUCGUAGGUGGUUUGUCGCGUCGUCUGUGAAAUUCCGGGGCUUAACUCCGGGCGUGCAGGCGAUACGGGCAUAACUUGAGUACUGUAGGGGAGACUGGAAUUCCUGGUGUAGCGGUGAAAUGCGCAGAUAUCAGGAGGAACACCGGUGGCGAAGGCGGGUCUCUGGGCAGUAACUGACGCUGAGGAGCGAAAGCAUGGGUAGCGAACAGGAUUAGAUACCCUGGUAGUCCAUGCUGUAAACGGUGGGCGCUAGGUGUAGGGGUCUUCCACGACUUCUGUGCCGUAGCUAACGCAUUAAGCGCCCCGCCUGGGGAGUACGGCCGCAAGGCUAAAACUUAAAGGAAUUGACGGGG
rnacentral:rRNA from 1 species